AUGAGUGGCGGACGGGUGAGUAACACGUGGGAAAUCUGCCUAAGAGUGGGGGAUAACAUUCGGAAACGGAUGCUAAUACCGCAUAUAUUCUUGAACCGCAUGGUUCUGGAAAGAAAGACGGCUUUGCUGUCGCUUUUAGAUGAUCCCGCGGCGUAUUAGUUAGUUGGUGGGGUAAUGGCCUACCAAGACCAUGAUACGUAGCCGACCUGAGAGGGUGAUCGGCCACACUGGGACUGAGACACGGCCCAGACUCCUACGGGAGGCAGCAGUAGGGAAUCUUCCACAAUGGGUGCAAACCUGAUGGAGCAAUGCCGCGUGAAUGAAGAAGGUCUUCGGAUCGUAAAGUUCUGUUAUUAGAGAAGAACAAGUCGAGGAGUAACUGUCUCGACUUUGACGGUACCUAACCAGAAAGUCACGGCUAACUACGUGCCAGCAGCCGCGGUAAUACGUAGGUGACAAGCGUUGUCCGGAAUUAUUGGGCGUAAAGGGAGCGCAGGCGGUUGGAAUAGUCUGAUGUGAAAGCCCACGGCUUAACCGUGGAAGGUCAUUGGAAACUGUCC
rnacentral:rRNA from 1 species